rnacentral:rRNA from 1 species
AUCAACUUUCGAUGGUAGGAUAGAGGCCUACCAUGGUGGUAACGGGUAACGGGGUGUUAGGGCACGACACCGGAGAGGGAGCCUGAGAAACGGCUACCACAUCCAAGGAUGGCAGCAGGCGCGCAAAUUACCCAAUCCCGACACGGGGAGGUAGUGACAAUAAAUAACAAUACGGGGUCCUUACGGGUCUCGUAAUUGGAAUGAGUACAAUUUAAAUCUCUUAACGAGGAACAAUUGGAGGGCAAGUCUGGUGCCAGCAGCCGCGGUAAUUCCAGCUCCAAUAGCGUAUAUUAAAGUUGUUGCAGUUAAAAAGCUCGUAGUUGAAUUUCGGGAUUGACACAUCGGCCGUGCCUUAAGGGGUAUGAACUGGUGUAGUCAAUUUCUCACCUUCUGGAGAACCGCGAUGCCCUUAAUUGGGUGUCGCGGGGAACCAGGACCUUUACUUUGAAAAAAUUAGAGUGUUUAAAGCAGGCAUUUUGCUUGAAUACAUUAGCAUGGAAUAAUAAAAUAGGACGGCAUGAUUCUAUUUUGUUGGUUUCUAGGAUCACCGUAAUGAUUAAUAGGGAUAGUUGGGGGCAUUAGUAUUCAAUUGUCAGAGGUGAAAUUCUUGGAUUUAUUGAAGACUAACUACUGCGAAAGCAUUUGCCAAGGAUGUUUUCAUUAAUCAAGAACGAAAGUUAGGGGAUCGAAGACGAUCAGAUACCGUCGUAGUCUUAACCAUAAACUAUGCCGACUAGGAAUCAGACGAUGUUAAUUUUUUAAUGACUCGUUUGGCACCUUACGGGAAACCAAAGUGUUUGGGUCC